rnacentral:lncRNA from 1 species
UGAGGGCUGAGGUUUCUUCUUCUACGAAAUCGAUUGAAGAACCCAGAAGUAUGAACUUGAAUCGCAGCGAGUGAAGAAACACAGAAGUAUGAACUUGAAACUGAAAUUAAUGCCAGAACCCAGAAAUGAGAAAACGACGAAGAAUAAACAAAACAGAGAGUGAAAGAAGGAGAUUCAAACCUUUUUCGCAGAGAUCAAUGGUUAAUUGCUUCGUUCUUCUUCUGCUUCGUUCAAUUCGGGCGAGACAGAUUAGGUCUUCGUUCUUCGUUCGAUUGCUUCGUUCUUCUUCUGCUUCGCUUUUCGGUGCGAUUGUAUGUUUUUAGAGUCAUUAAACGGCGUCAUUUAAUGACAGGGAGAGUAAAAAAAAA